rnacentral:rRNA from 1 species
CGUAUCACCCAAGACAACUUUGCGGAGUUGACGAUUGACGGAGCGAAGCGACGUCAAAGCGUUCAUUAAAGUCGAGUUGGCUUAGGGAUACGUUCGUUGGGUAGGGGAGCGUUCUGUAAGCCUGUGAAGGUAUGCUGUGAGGCAUGCUGGAGGUAUCAGAAGUGCGAAUGCUGACAUAAGUAACGAUAAAGCGGGUGAAAAGCCCGCUCGCCGGAAGACCAAGGGUUCCUGUCCAACGUUAAUCGGGGCAGGGUGAGUCGACCCCUAAGGCGAGGCCGAAAGGCGUAGUCGAUGGGAAACGGGUUAAUAUUCCCGUACUUGGUGUUACUGCGAAGGGGGGACGGAGAAGGCUAUGUUGGCCGGGCGACGGUUGUCCCGGUUUAAGCGUGUAGGUGUGUGUUCCAGGUAAAUCCGGUUCACUUUAACACUGAGGCGUGACGACGAGGCACUACGGUGCUGAAGCAACAAAUGCCCUGCUUCCAGGAAAAGCCUCUAAGCAUCAGGUAACAUCAAAUCGUACCCCAAACCGACACAGGUGGUCAGGUAGAGAAUACCAAGGCGCUUGAGAGAACUCGGGUGAAGGAACUAGGCAAAAUGGUGCCGUAA